AGGAAGGACCAGCCUCUCUGAAGGCCGCCGGGGAGGCCUCGGGUUCGCACCCAGUCGGCGGACAGAGGGUCCCUUGGGGCCUUCCCUGGAGGCGGCGGGGCAGCCUUCCCGGGGGCCUGGCCUCCUCCCCAGACGGCCCAGGACAACGUGUCUUCUCCCCACACCUGCUGCUCCUUCUGCAGAGUCCGUCUUUCUCCGCCUGGUUCCGUUCUGGUCAUGUUUUGUGCCCGUGGACGGGCCCCGGGACCACCGGACACCCCGACCGCCGGCCACGUGCCCGGGUCCAGAGGUGGGGCUGGCCUUGCAGUAGGGCUUGGCGCACGGUGGGCGCUGAAGGGUGACUCUUGUUAUUAUUAUUACAGGAAGUUGAUAGCUUACAACAUUCUUCAGUUGAGAAGCUGCAGGAGAAAAACUAUGCCCUUUCCCCAGAACUUGAAAGGAAAAAAAAAUCUAUACUGUGUUGUUCCGGAGCCUGUCUGGGUACACUUGAGCUUGUUCCUCUGUGUGAAAAACAGUAUGUUUUGACUUAAGCUGAAGGAACGAGGUUUUCUCUUUGGCAACGUGGGAUGGAUUCCUGUGCGUGACAUUUCCAGUGACACGGGGGAGCAUCAGCCCAGAAAGAAACGGGUUUAUUUUGUAACUGAAAUCUCAACUCUGUGGUAGAUUCCAGAAGCCCUCAAAUCUAGUCUGGUGAUGUGGACCAGAAGCUUCUCCAUCCUAUUGAAUUGAAUCUCUGCGAUAAUCAUGUGGUCAAGCUUUCAGUCAACACAACAGAGCCACGGCUACACAGUGACACUGUGAUGAGGGGCUGAUGGACCACAUUUUGGUGACCUGCAGGGAACCGGGAGCAGGAAGCAAAAAAGGUGACCGCGGUCCCAACGAACACCGACAGCACAGCCCGGCCCGGCCCAGCCGAAGCCCGCAGCAUAGAAACGAAACCGUGUUUCCUGCAGAUGCCACAGCCUGUUAGGCAACGGAAAACGGAGACACACAGGUUCCUGAAAGGCCACGCACGGGGUGCCCAGGUAUCUGGCCAAACGUGAUCGCGGGUGUGUCUGGGAAGGUGUUUCUGGAUGAGAUGAACAAUGGAGAUGCAAGCCUCCUGAGGGUGGGCCCCAUCCAAGCAGCUGAAGGCCUGACCACAAUAAAAAGGCUGACCCCCCCCAUGAAGAAGAGAGAAUUCUCCUGCCCGACGGCUCUGCACUGGGACAUUGUGUUUUUCCUGCCUUUAGUCUCGGACGGAAUCAUUGGCUCCUCUUGGGUCUCAAACCUACUGGCCUUUGGACUGGAGUUUACGCAACGGGCUCCCGGGGCCCCCAGCCUGUCGACCGCAGACCUCGGGGGUCAUCAGCCUCUACAGCCAUGGGAGGCAGUUCCUCAGCAUACACCCCCAUGCCCCCCAGAGGGUUCACUAACGGGAGAAUGGACGAAUCCUGGAAUUCUCAGCAAUAAAAAGGCAUAAACUACUGAGACAGCAACAACAGACAUGAAUCUUGAGAGCCCUGUGUGGAGUGAAAAAGACACAGAUGAGUUCAUACUGUGUUUCCAUUUGUGAAAUUCCAGAGAAGACGGAUCUGUGACGCUGGAAGGCAGCCUGGCGGUGCUGGUGAAGGGGAGGUGACCUGAGGAGACGUGAUGGGCACGGCCCCAGUGGCGGUGGCACUUUGGCGCACGCAGGGCAAACGCGAAUUCUGUCUCAGUAGAGCUGGUUUUACAGAAAGAAUCAGCCGGCCUGGUGGGGAGUGACCUUCUCUGAAACCAUGUCCUUCGCUGCCCCAGCCUGUGUCAGAGGACGUUUAGACAGUCGAGCAGAAACCAAGUUGGGCGCAGCCCAUCGGAAGCACAGGGGGCCGGGGCGGGGGUGUCCCUCCUGCUGCUGUCCCUUCCAGGCGGGGAUGCUGGCCCUGCCCAUCCCCCUGCCACUCCCUCACCCCGUGGGGGGCCUGACGAGGCAGAGGCUGGGCUGGAACAGAACGUGGGGUGUCCCUGGCCCUCGGGCCUCCAGCCGGCCUCACCCUCAGUCUCACGAUGCCUGGAUGUCUGGGCCGAGCCGGCUCCCACAUUCAACACGAUCCGGAGGCCACGGAUCACUUCUCACCAGGGAAAGCUUCCCAAGACCCAGCUUAGAGGGCACGAAGAGCAAACUGAAGUCUCACGAGGCCUGGAACACAGGUGAACGGGGAAGAACUGUUUCAACUUUAGCUGGAUUUGCCCAACGGGUCGGUUCCAAAUGUGUGCGAGGAUUCUCGGCAGCUGUUCUGCAUCUCAUCCGAACCAGCCCCCUCUGGCUAGUAGAGGCGGUCCUAGGAGAUCUGGUCGUGCCGCCCACGCUGGGUGGUGACUUUGCUGCUGCAGUUAAAGAAUCAGUUUCUUAACCACGCCUUCAGCCAUGUUAACACCACUCCCCAGAUUUGAGAACUCAUUAAAAGAGAAACGCUUGAUCAUAGAAGCAAUAACCAGAAGUUUGUCCAAUGUACUGAGAAUUCAUUUUAAACGGAAAUGUGUUUUCUUGCUGAGGACUUUGGGGGGUGCCUCGGGGUGUGAAGGAGCCAGUGCCCAGCUGACGUACACGAUGUUCCCUGCGGGCUCAGAGCACCCCUCUCGGUGCUGGAGAGAAGGUGCUCUGUGACCUGGGGCGGGUGACUUGGCGUCUCUGUGCCUCAGCUUUUGCCCAUGAGAAGGAGGUGGCGAUGGGAGCCUCCCACACACACACACAGGCUGCUGCAAAGGACGAGGGCAGAGAACACACCAGCUGUGAGGGGCAUGAUUCAUAUUUUGCUUUUGGUCUAAUUUGCAGCUUUUGCCUUUGACGACACUAUUUGCCUUGUGUGGUUGUUGUGAGGAUUAAAUGAG